rnacentral:rRNA from 1 species
AUUGAACGCUGGCGGGAGGCCUAACACAUGCAAGUCGAGCGGAGCGGCGGACGGGUGAGUAAUGCCUAGGAAUCUGCCUGGUCGCGGGGGAUAAGGUCCGGUAACGGGCGCUAAUACCGCAUCCUAUCAGAUGAGCCUAGGUCGGAAUAGCUAGUGUGUGGGGUAAAGGUCUACGAAGGCGACGAUCCGUAGCUGGUCUGAGAGGAUGAUCAGGCACACUGGAACUGAGACACGGUCCAGACUCCUACGGGAGGCAGCAGUGGGGAAUAUUGGACAAUGGGCGAAACCCUGAUCCAGCCAUGCCGCGUGUAUGAAGAAGGUCUUCGGGUUGUAAAGCACUUUAGGUAGGGAAGCGGUACCGACAGAAUAAGCACCGGCUAACUACGUGCCAGCAGCCGCGGUAAUAC